rnacentral:rRNA from 1 species
GAUGAGCGCUGGCGGCGUGCCUAAUACAUGCAAGUCGAGCGAACAGACGAGGAGCUUGCUCCUCUGACGUUAGCGGCGGACGGGUGAGUAACACGUGGAUAACCUACCUAUAAGACUGGGAUAACUUCGGGAAACCGGAGCUAAUACCGGAUAAUAUAUUGAACCGCAUGGUUCAAUAGUGAAAGACGGUUUUGAUGUCACUUAUAGAUGGAUCCGCGCCGCAUUAGCUAGUUGGUAAGGUAACGGCUUACCAAGGCAACGAUGCGUAGCCGACCUGAGAGGGUGAUCGGCCACACUGGAACUGAGACACGGUCCAGACUCCUACGGGAGGCAGCAGUAGGGAAUCUUCCGCAAUGGGCGAAAGCCUGACGGAGCAACGCCGCGUGAGUGAUGAAGGUCUUCGGAUCGUAAAACUCUGUUAUUAGGGAAGAACAAAUGUGUAAGUAACUAUGCACGUCUUGACGGUACCUAAUCAGAAAGCCACGGCUAACUACGUG